UACGUAGGGGGCCAGCGUUGUCCGGAAUCAUUGGGCGUAAAGCGCGCGUAGGCGGCCAGAUAAGUCCGGUGUGAAAGUCAAAGGCUCAACCUUUGAAUGCCGCUGGAAACUGCCUGGCUUGAGUCCGGAAGGGGCGAGUGGAAUUCCUGGUGUAGCGGUGAAAUGCUUAGAUAUGACAUAGAACACCGAUUGCGAAGGCAGCUGGCUCCUCGGAUAUUGACACUGAGGCACGAAAGCGUGGGGAGCAAACAGG
rnacentral:rRNA from 1 species